AUUGAACGCUGGCGGCAGGCCUAACACAUGCAAGUCGAACGAGUGGCGGACGGGUGAGUAAUGUCUGGGAAACUGCCUGAUGGAGGGGGAUAACUACUGGAAACGGUAGCUAAUACCGCAUACCAUCGGAUGUGCCCAGAUGGGAUUGGCUAGUAGGUGGGGUAACGGCUCACCUGGGCGACGAUCCCUAGCUGGUCUGAGAGGAUGACCAGCAAAACGGGAACUGAGCCAGGGCCCAGACUCCUACGGGAGGCAGCAGUGGGAAAUAUUGCACAAUGGGCGCAAGCCUGCUGCAGCCAUGCCGCGUGUAUGAAGAAGGCCUUCGGGUUGUAAAGUACUUUCAGCGGGGAGGCGUUACCCGAAGAAGAAGCACCGGCUAACUCCGUGCCAGCCGCCGCGGUAAUAC
rnacentral:rRNA from 1 species